rnacentral:lncRNA from 1 species
GUAUCGACAUCGUCAUUGGCAUUGCAAUCUUGGGCAGAGAUCCAUAUUCUGCACUCAUGAGGGAUUCCCCAACAAUCUCCACAAUAGAUGAAAAUUUAUUUGCAUAUUAGAGAAUCAAAUAGGACCUAAAUUUAUUUGGGAGUACCUAUUUCUAAUAAGGGAUUGUCCUCAGCUAACUUUGAUGGUUUGAUUCAUCAAUUUUUGAG